rfam:Vigna radiata var. radiata cultivar VC1973A chromosome 8, whole genome shotgun sequence
UACGCAGAUGAUGAAAAAAUAGAUAGGGACAUCAACACUCCAAAGGAGAAUGUUGAGUUCGUCUAAUGGGAAUCUCUCUGAUGCGUU